CGGUGACACCCUUUCCAGGCACACUGAUGCUUGCGGCUGCUGCUGCUGCUGCAUGGCCUGUACGGCCUCAGUGAGGCCUCUGACCUGCUGCGCCAGCAGAUCAACUUGCUCCGCGCCGAUCGCCGUCGCCGGAGGAGGAGGAGGAGGCUGAAAAACUGAAGGUGAGGCCGGAGCCUGAGAUCUGGCUGCGGAGGCCGUGGAUCAUCGUGUGGAUGCCUUGCGGGGAGGCAUCGGGCCAAGACCAAGUAAAGGAGGG
rnacentral:lncRNA from 1 species